UUCAUCAGCCUUACUGAUCCUGAGAGCCCCAUUGCCCAGAAAUGUAAUCUCCUCAAGGUCAGGAACGCCUUGGCACAUCCGUAGAGUUCAGUCAUUAGGGGUGGUGUCUCUCUAUGUUGCCCAGACUGUUUUCUAACCCCAGCCUCAAGCAAAUUUCCCACCCUCUUCUCCCAAAAUGCUGGGAUUACAAGUGUGAGCUACUGUACCCAGCCUACUUAGGAGGACAUUUACUAUUCACUUACUGAUUUGUAUCAAAUUAUUGAUUGGUGGUGUUUCAGGAAGUGGAAGCUUGGCCAGCCCCACAUACAGCCUGAGCGAGACAUGCCCUUCAUUUGUUAAGCAGCUGAGGAUUUGUAACUACUUGUGACUGCAGCAUGUCCAAGAAUGUUUUGUCUGACACACGACAAUGAGUGCAUAUAUAAUGAUUCCACAAGAGCC